UUUGUUUUCUCGUAGAUUCUGGUAAGUUGGAGAAGUUGUCAAAUCAUAUUAUUACCGUAAAUAUUGUCAGUUUAUGGUAAUGUUUUGAACUACCAAUGUGCUAUAUUUGUGCUGUGUUUCACCAGUCAGUAAAAUGACAUUUCUGUAUCUGUACACAAGCUCUGUUUUCUUGUAUUCUUCUAUUUAUUGGUGCUAAAAUUAGGGUGCGCGUUAUAAACGGGUACAAUAAUUUUCCCUAGAUUUUACAAGUAAAUUUGGGGUGCGCGUUAUACACGGGUUCGCCUUAUAUUCGGGAAAUUACGGUAGACUGAGCAAAUGAGCCCUCUCAGUCAAAAUGCAUUGGAUGUCUAGCACCGACAAUGUACGGCAGUAUAGCAUGAAGGCGAUUUAUAUUAUGUCGGUCACUUUAACAACGCAAAGAAUCAUCAGGUUUUUACAUGAGAUGCCUGCUGUAAAUAAACAUUAAAGGAGCAUGACAUGUUUUGUCGGAGGAUAGCGAGGAGGUUGAUCUAAGAAGCAGUGCGUUUAAAGGCCCAUAAACACAGCGAUAAUGGCGUGGGUUUAUGAGGACUCAGACUGUUGAGACGGGCUGUUACAGCUACGGCUACUGUUGUUGUUAGUCUCACUGUUCCUCGAUGGGCACUAAAGCGGAAAAAUGGAUCUCGACUUUGUGUUGCAAUACGAAGCUGGACUUAUUCUCCCCUCUCUUUCUCUUUUUGUGUGAAAGGCGCCCAGGCAUUUGCCUGCAUGGUUAUGGAGUUAAAUGCUCAGCUCCAUGGCUUGGCUUCUGCACGGUUUCCCCCUCCAUCUCAUUCCCCCUGACAGGAUUAGCAGGUCUCCAGUGUUAGAAAUACAUUAAGUGGACCUUUGCAGUCACUUAUUAUGCCUGAUUAUGCAGCUGGAAUGGGGAAGGAAAACAGAGAAUAUCGGGCAAACUUUGGAUAUAUGGUGAAGAAAGCCGCUUAGUUGACUGAGGUAACACCCACUGUGUUAGAGGAACAGUUUCAUGCUGAGAGAGGUCUGCGUGAGCUCAUAUACGGGAAAAACGGACCAAGUUCUGCUAUAAAUUUGGGGUACAAGUCACGAAGAGACGACAGCUGUUUAAUCUGCCCUCAAGGCUUCAUAAACCUUUGCCUUUCAAAUACCAACCAUGGUGGCUAAACUCUCCAAGUCAACAUGUGAACACAUGUAAUACUAUGCAACAUACAUUCUCACAGCGUGAGUAACAGUACACACUCACUAUGUACUCAUAGCAUUUGAUUCAUAAUCAAGCUGAAUAUUGAGGUAACACUUGAUGGAGCAUGAUGAUGCCGUUAGUCCAACUUGGCACACCCUGCUUUGUCAAGUGGAAACUAAUUUGCACCUUUGUACUGCUUAUACUGAGGCAUUAGCUUGAGAUUGUCUUGGUACCUGGUAAUUAAAGCAGAUGGUCAAAUAACCCUGUCAGAACUGUUAACUAAGUGGGCCUCUAUGUAAUCUUAAUUCCCUGCCUGUUUGUAAAAGCCAAGCUGUUCUUUAGUCAAUUCCCACCGCUCAUUGUUACACGCCAGUGUUGUGUUUCUACUCGGUUAGAGUCUUAUUAAAACGGUUGCUUUAAUUGUAGUUUACAGUAAAUGGACUUGGUAGGGGACAUUGAAGUCUGUGACAUGCAAGAUAUGAUCUGAAAUGACUUUUAAUCAAGCUUGUUGAAACAAAACUGCCUAAUCUUGCCAAAACAGCCGCUCAGGUUUAACCCCACCUCUUUUUUUCCCCAGUCAAAAAGGGAGAAAUACAAAGAGACUACAUACACCUGCACAAUCAAUGAGAGCACAUAUAAGAGCAAAAAGGAGGCAAAAUGUGGUUGCUAGUAAUGUUCUC